rnacentral:rRNA from 1 species
UACGUAAAAAGCUAACAUUAUCCGAAAUCAUUAAACAUAAAGAACAUAUAAACAACCCAAUAAGUCCACUGUGAAAGUCGAAAACUCAACCCUCAAAUGCCGAUGAAUACUGUCGAACUCGAGUACGGAAAAGGCGAGUGGAAUUCCUGGUGUAGCAGUGAAAUGCGCAGAUAUCAGGAGGAACACCUAUUGCGAAAGCAACUCGCUAAAACGUUACUGACGCUGAGACGCGAAAGCGUAAAAAGCAAACAAG